GUGUCAGCAGCCGCGGUAAUACGGAGGGUGCAAGCGUUAUCCGGAUUCACUGGGUUUAAAGGGUGCGUAGGCGGCUAUAUAAGUCAGUGGUGAAAGCCCGCAGCUCAACUGCGGAAUUGCCAUUGAAACUGCAUAGCUUGAAUCUGGUUGAAGUGGGCGGAAUACAUCAUGUAGCGGUGAAAUGCUUAGAUAUGAUGUAGAACACCGAUUGCGAAGGCAGCUCACUAAGCCAACAUUGACGCUGAGGCACGAAAGCGUGGGUAGCGAACAGGAUUAGAUACCCUGGUAGUCC
rnacentral:rRNA from 1 species